UACGGAGGGUGCGAGCGUUGUCCGGAAUCACUGGGCGUAAAGGGCGCGUAGGCGGCAUGCCAAGCGUGUGGUGAAAGCCCGGGGCUCAACCCCGGGUCGGCCGUGCGGACUGGCAUGCUCGAGCACUGUAGGGGCGGGUGGAAUUCCGGGUGUAGCGGUGGAAUGCGUAGAGAUCCGGAAGAACACCGGUGGCGAAGGCGGCCCGCUGGGCAGGAAGGAAGCGUAA
rnacentral:rRNA from 1 species